rnacentral:sRNA from 1 species
GCCGGGCGUGGUGGUGUGCGCCUGUAAUCCCAGCUACUUGGAAGGCUGAGGCAGGAGAAUUGCUUGAACCCAGGAGGUGGAGGUUACAGUGAGCCGAGAUAGUGCCACUGCACUCCAGCCUGGGUGACACAGCGAGACUCCGUCUCAA